UGGAUAGCUCAGUUAGCAGAGCAUGAGACUCUUAAUUUCAGAGCUGUGGGUUCGAGCCCCACAUUGGACAA